rnacentral:misc_RNA from 1 species
GUGGCGAGUUGUGCAAAACGAGGAAACUGGUUAAUCGGGGUUCGAUAAACUGAUUGCAGCACCCUUUUACGCUUUGACAAGUGCCAGUCAUUUUGACUGGUAUUGGUAUAAGUAGCUUUGAUACAAAAUUAUUUUCAGUUCGAAUACAUAAAAAGCAAAAUAAAAUUCAUUAUAUUAUUCUUUUAGUUAUCGUUGCGAAAGUCAUUACAUCAUUGCGGAAUAAAAAUAUAACACGAAGUAGGAAUUUUAAAGUAAAAUUGUAAAACCAGUCAAUUUGACUGGCGUG